UCUUGAGAGCGGCGGACGGGUGAGUAAUGCCUAGGAAUCUGCCUGGUAGUGGGGGAUAACGUUCGGAAACGGACGCUAAUACCGCAUACGUCCUACGGGAGAAAGCAGGGGACCUUCGGGCCUUGCGCUAUCAGAUGAGCCUAGGUCGGAUUAGCUAGUUGGUGGGGUAAUGGCUCACCAAGGCGACGAUCCGUAACUGGUCUGAGAGGAUGAUCAGUCACACUGGAACUGAGACACGGUCCAGACUCCUACGGGAGGCAGCAGUGGGGAAUAUUGGACAAUGGGCGAAAGCCUGAUCCAGCCAUGCCGCGUGUGUGAAGAAGGUCUUCGGAUUGUAAAGCACUUUAAGUUGGGAGGAAGGGCAGUAAAUUAAUACUUUGCUGUUUUGACGUUACCGACAGAAUAAGCACCGGCUAACUCUGUGCCAGCAGCCGCGGUAAUACAGAGGGUGCAAGCGUUAAUCGGAAUUACUGGGCGUAAAGCGCGCGUAGGUGGUUCGUUAAGUUGGAUGUGAAAUCCCCGGGCUCAACCUGGGAACUGCAUUCAAAACUGACGAGCUAGAGUAUGGUAGAGGGGUGGUGGAAUUUCCUGUGUAGCGGUGAAAUGCGUAGAUAUAGGAAGGAACACCAGUGGCGAAGGCGACCACCUGGACUGAUACUGACACUGAGGUGCG
rnacentral:rRNA from 1 species